GACGAACGCUGGCGGCGUGCCUAAUACAUGCAAGUCGAACGCUGAAGAGAGGAGCUUGCUCUUCUUGGAUGAGUUGCGAACGGGUGAGUAACGCGUAGGUAACCUGCCUGGUAGCGGGGGAUAACUAUUGGAAACGAUAGCUAAUACCGCAUAAAAUGGAUUAUCGCAUGAUAAUCCAUUGAAAGGUGCAAAUGCAUCACUACCAGAUGGACCUGCGUUGUAUUAGCUAGUUGGUGGGGUAACGGCUCACCAAGGCGACGAUACAUAGCCGACCUGAGAGGGUGAUCGGCCACACUGGGACUGAGACACGGCCCAGACGCCUACGGGAGGCAGCAGUAGGGAAUCUUCGGCAAUGGACGGAAGUCUGACCGAGCAACGCCGCGGGAGUGAAGAAGGUUGUCGGAUCGUAAAGCUCUGUUGUAAGAGAAGAACGAGUGUGAGAGUGGAAAGUUCACACUGUGACGGUAGCUUACCAGAAAGGGACGGCUAACUACGUG
rnacentral:rRNA from 1 species